CUCAAAGCUCUAAAAAAGAUUUGAUUUUUCUGCUCAUCGCUCAUUCUGAUCAUUUCUGCUCGGCUGUGCGCAUGCGAUUUCGCUCAAAAUCAGAUUUUCUUGCUCAACAAAAAAAUCGAGUUUUGGGUUGAUUUUUUCUCUCAUAAUCCUGCUCAUUCUGCUCCACAUCAGCACAUCAGUUGUUUGUUUACUUCAAUUUUUCGUUUAAAAAUUAAGUAAAGUUCUCUAAAACAUAUUCUUUAUCAUUAUGGGUCCCAAGACCCAGGUUAAGCGUACCAGUGUCGAAAAAGUUGCAAAUCCCGUAAUUUGUUGUAACAAAAGUAGCGUCGUGGAGGUAGGCGGCCGAAAAAUAUUUCGUUGGACAGCACAAGUAAAAAUUGACAUGGCAUAUUAUGUCGUCAACAAUAACACCUCAUUUAAGCAGGUGACCAACCGCACUGAAUUCCUUCGUCGUCUCCAAGAUGCUUUGCCCUUAAUUGCGAAGAAAGUCAAAUAAAAAAUGGAUUUGACAGAUUUCUUAAAACGUACACAGAGACUAAAGAGAAGUUAAACCAGUCGGGUUUUGGGAUUGACCCUGAGAAAGACGAAACUCUGGACAAAAGUGCGGUCAUUUCUUUCAAUUACAUCAAAUCUAAUGAUUUUCAAUGCGAUAAAAUUACGAUUCAGCGAAGCCGAAAUAAAAAUACUGGAACUCAAAAUUAAAUUGGAAACUAUUACAUCUAAAUUUUAAGCAUUUGAUUUAUACAUAAAAUUGUUUAUUGCUGCUAUAUAAAAUGAAUUAUUUGAGAUAA